CUUGGUGCCUGAGCUGCCCUGGGGGACGGUGUCUGGUGUGAGGAAUCCUGCCUCCUUUCCCGGCGCCCCCACCCACCUCUAGCCAGAAAAGCCCAGCUCCCCUGCCAGGAGGCGGCUGGGGCCUGGGAGGCUGCGUGCAGCAGGGCAAGGCGUCUGGCUGCAUCCCGGAGUGACCCUGGAGAACGUCAUGAGGCUCCUGGGGCAGCCGUAUGGCAGGUCAGCUCCCGGCUGGAGAGACGACUGAGACCCUAACCCUGUGGUCUGGAAGCUUGCUCGCCUGUGGAGGCGCUCCUUAGAUGCCCACCGCCCACCCUCACCUGGGUCCACCCCGACUCCAUUUCUCCAUAUAUAAAAUGUCACCUGCAGGUGGUAGUGAGUGCCCACCCUGCCGCUCAGGGAAUGGACGGGGGACCCAUCCCCUGCCCCAGCUCCACCUGGACCACACCCACCGUCUCUCAGGCGGCCCUUGGUCCCAGCUGGGGAAGUGCGGCGGCCACACCGAUCAAUCCCACAUUACAGCUGACAGAGCGGUGCUAAUAACUUAUUGAUCCUGGCCGGGCAGCCGUCAGGCCCAGCCCCAGAGACAGGGUCAAUCCCAUGGCCUGGUCCAGAGUCCCCGCCUCAGUGACAGAUUGGGGGACAC